rnacentral:rRNA from 1 species
AGAGUUGAUCCUGGCUCAGGAUGAACGCUAGCUACAGGCUUAACACAUGGCAAGGUCGAGGGGAAACGAUAUUGGAAGCUUGCUUCCGGUAGGCGUCGACCGGCGCACGGGUGAGUAACGCGUAUCCAACCUGCCCACCACUUGGGGAUAACCUUGCGAAAGUAAGACUAAUACCCAAUGAUAUCUCUAGAAGACAUCUGAAAGAGAUUAAAGAUUUAUCGGUGAUGGAUGGGGAUGCGUCUGAUUAGCUUGUUGGCGGGGUAACGGCCCACCAAGGCAACGAUCAGUAGGGGUUCUGAGAGGAAGGUCCCCCCACAUUGGAACUGAGACACGGUCCAAACUCCUACGGGAGGCAGCA